UACAGAGGGUGCAAGCGUUAAUCGGAAUUACUGGGCGUAAAGCGUGUGUAGGUGGUUUCCUAAGUCAGGUGUGAAAUCCCGGGGCUCAACCCCGGAACUGCCUUUGAUACUGGGUGUCUAGAGUCCGGAAGAGGUGAGUGGAAUUCCGAGUGUAGAGGUGAAAUUCGUAGAUAUUCGGAGGAACACCAGUGGCGAAGGCGGCUCACUGGUCCGGUACUGACGCUGAGGUGCGAAAGCGUGGGGAGCAAACAGG
rnacentral:rRNA from 1 species